CCUCUCUCUCCCUCACUUCCUUUCCUCACCCUCUCACCCUCUCACCCUCACCCUCUGAGCAGAGCCACACACACAAUAACCAGCAGCAGGAACUUUCCUCUCGUCUGUUGGUUCCACGCUGGAUUAUUUUUGGAGACGUGCAAACGGAUAUUUGAAGCAGUGAACGUGUGAAACUCACUGUAAUGAGUUUCCUCGUCCUUGUGUGUCCAGUGGAGACGGCGAUCACUCUUGAGAAGGAUUCCUCCUCCUCCUCCUCCUCCUCCUCUACCUCGUCCCUCUAACUCUGUUUUUCAUCAUGACUCAUUUGUCAGGUUUUCAUCAAAUCCACUGUUUUUUAAUCACUCUUUUCCUGAAGAGACGACUCAUUCUCGUCUUUCCCUGAUAAACUCUGUUCUGACAGGUUUUGUUUUUUGGGCACAAACUGAGAACACAGAAACGUUUACCUCUCAUUUUUGGAUUGUUGGAGUUUCACAACUUACACUCGUUUGCUAAAGUC